rnacentral:snoRNA from 1 species
AGCUCAGUGAUUGCAACCACUCACAUUGGUUUUAUACGCUAUUCUGAUUGGAACUGUUGAAAAGUUAAGACUUAUGAGAGCU